UACGGGGGGGGUAAGCGUUGUUCGGAUUUACUGGGCGUAAAGGGCGCGUAGGCGGCCACCGCAAGUCGACUGUGAAAUCUCCGGGCUUAACCCGGAAAGGUCAGCCGAUACUGCGGGGCUAGAGUGCAGAAGGGGCAACUGGAAUUCUCGGUGUAGCGGUGAAAUUCGUAGAUAUCGGGAGGAACACCAGUGGCGAAGGCGGCGAUCUGGGAAGAUACUGACGCUGAGGUGCGAAAGCGUGGGGAGCAAACAGG
rnacentral:rRNA from 1 species